rnacentral:misc_RNA from 1 species
CUUGUGUAGGGAGUUGGACAACUAGAAGCCAAAUCAGCAAAACUGAGUAAGACAUCCAAUUCAGAAAGCAUGCCAGCUAAAGACUCAAACACCUCAGAAAAAGUUGCUGCAGUUUGAAUGACUCGAUUGACCAGCUCUUUCUGACAAUUCUUGUAUUCCUCUACUAUCUUUUGGUACUGAUCCCCUAACUUCUUAAGUUUUGUGUUUGUGAAUUUUACUCCAUCCUUUCGGGUUUCAAGGACAAUAAAUUGGGUGGUCAGCUUUUUCCUUAUUUUUGGCUCUUCUUUCUUUGUAAUUCUGAAGACAUGUCCAAAUUGUGUUCCUUUAUCUAACUUUAAUCCUUUAUCUUGAGGAAGAUCAAGAUCAUUUGCAGUUUGUUUAUGCAAAUUGUGUAUUUGGCGCUCCAAUGACUCUUGUUCAUCUUUCAGUGCAGAUAGUGCAG